rnacentral:rRNA from 1 species
ACUCAAAGGAAUUGACGGGGGCCCGCACAAGCGGUGGAGCAUGUGGUUUAAUUCGACGCAACGCGAAGAACCUUACCUGGGCUCGAAAUGUAGUGGACCGGAGUAGAAAUAUUCCUUCCUAGCAAUAGGCUGCUAUAUAGGUGCUGCAUGGCUGUCGUCAGCUCGUGUCGUGAGAUGUUGGGUUAAGUCCCGCAACGAGCGCAACCCUUAUUGCCAGUUGCCAUCAUUUAGUUGGGCACUCUGGUGAGACCGCCUCGGAUAACGGGGAGGAAGGUGGGGAUGACGUCAAGUCCUCAUGGCCUUUAUGUCCAGGGCUACACACGUGCUACAAUGGCCGGUACAAACCGUCGCAAACCCGUGAGGGGGAGCUAAUCGGAAAAAGCCGGCCUCAGUUCGGAUUGGAGUCUGCAACUCGACUCCAUGAAGCUGGAAUCGCUAGUAAUCGCGGAUCAGAAUGCCGCGGUGAAUACGUUCCCGGGCCUUGCACACACCGCCCGU